rnacentral:rRNA from 1 species
GAUGAACGCUGGCGGCGUGCCUAAUACAUGCAAGUCGAGCGAACGGACGAGAAGCUUGCUUUUCUGAUGUUAGCGGCGGACGGGUGAGUAACACGUGGAUAACCUACCUAUAAGACUGGGAUAACUUCGGGAAACCGGAGCUAAUACCGGAUAAUAUUUUGAACCGCAUGGUUCAAAAGUGAAAUACGUUCUUGCUGUCACUUAUAGAUGGAUCCGCGCUGCAUUAGCUAGUUGGUAAGGUAACGGCUUACCAAGGCCACGAUGCAUAGCCGACCUGAGAGGGUGAUCGGCCACACUGGAACUGAGACACGGUCCAGACUCCUACGGGAGGCAGCAGUAGGGAAUCUUCCGCAAUGGGCGAAAGCCUGACGGAGCAACGCCGCGUGAGUGAUGAAGGUCUUCGUAUCGUAAAACUCUGUUAUUAGGGAAGAACAUAUGUGUAAGUGACUGUGCACAUCUUGACGGUACCUAAUCAGAAAGCCACGGCUAACUACGUG